AGAUUGAACGCUGGCGGCAUGCUUUACACAUGCAAGUCGAACGGUAACAGGCCGCAAGGUGCUGACGAGUGGCGAACGGGUGAGUAAUGCAUCGGAACGUGCCCAGUCGUGGGGGAUAACGCAGCGAAAGCUGUGCUAAUACCGCAUACGCCCUACGGGGGAAAGGGGGGAUUCUUUCGAGAACCUCUCACUAUUGGAGCGGCCGAUAUCAGAUUAGCUAGUUGGUGAGGUAAAGGCUCACCAAGGCGACGAUCUGUAGCUGGUUUGAGAGGACGACCAGCCACACUGGGACUGAGACACGGCCCAGACUCCUACGGGAGCAGCAGUGGGAAUUUUGGACAAUGGGGGAAACCUGAUCCAGCCAUCCCGCGUGUGCGAUGAAGGCCUUCGGUGUAAGCGACUUUGCGAGGAAGAACGGACGCCGCCGUAAGUACGGGACGUCGCGUGACGGUACC
rnacentral:rRNA from 1 species